GUCGUCGUCGUCAUCGUCCGAAGACACAUUAGUUUUCGCACUCUAACUUUAGUUUAAGUGAAUGGAUCUUUUUGAAAUUUGACCAUAAGGUUAAAUACCACAAAAGGAAGGUUGGGAUUGAUUUUGGGGGUUAUGGUACCAACAGUUAAGGAAUUAGGGGCCAAAAAGGGGCCAAAAAUAAGCAUUUUCUAGUUUCCAGACAAUAACUGUGGAACGGUGUAUGGAUCUCUCUGAAAUUAUACUACAAGUUUCCAUACCACAAAGGGAUGGUUAGGAUUUGCUUUGGGGGGUUAUGGCUCAAACCGUUUAGGAAUUAGGGACAAAAAAGGGGGAAAAACAAGGUUGUCCUGGUUAAUGGACAAAUACUUUAGUACAAAACAUAAUUUAAAGCAGUGUAAGGGAGAUAAAUCAAAUACAUCAUUGAAAUUAUCUCCCUUACACUGCUUUUAAAUUAUGUAUAAAGUAAUGGUAAAUGAACAAUAAAGAUAAUUUAAAACAGUGUAAGGGAGGUAAUCCAAAUACAACGUUUUGGUUACUUCCCUUACACUGCUUUUAAAUUAUGUUUAAAGAAAUGCAUAUUUAUAAAGGAAGACCAGUAAAAAUAUCUGCAAAUGUUGCAUCUUUUUUUUUUUCAAAAAAAUCAUUAUGAAAGAUUUGACACUAUAUUUUUAAUUCUAUUAUAAAAUAGAUUAAGUUAGCACUAUGGUAAAUUUAAAUGGGUAAUCAUGGUUGCCAACUCCAUUGGAAAUUUGAAUUGAGAUUAUGACCAUAUCUUGAGGGAAAGAAUUUUUUUGGGGAAAAAAGGGGGGGGGGGGGAUAAAAAGAAAUUGUGGGGUGUCAAUUUUUUCUCAUUUCAGAUUUCAGAAAUUAAAAAGAAUUAUUCUUCAAAUAUUAUUUUUUUUUCAAAUUUCAAAUAUUGAAAAAUUUCAAGAAGUAAUCUUUAAUUGCACAGUAUGGCGCAUUAGAUUUGUAAAAUCUUUGAUCACAUUUAUUUAUUUGUUAUGCCAAAUCUAACAGUGUAUUUAGAUUUUUAAUUUUGGGUCCAGUUUUCAAAAUAGUCUACAUUAAGGUCCAAAGGGUCCAAAAUUAAACUUUGUUUGAUUUUAGCAAAAAUUGAAUAUAUGAGGUUCUUUGAUAUGCUGAAUCUAAACAUGUAUUUAGAUUUUUGAUUUUUGGCCCAGUUUUCAAGUUGGUCCAAAUUGGGGUCCAAAAUUAAACUUUGUUUGAUUUCAACAAAAAUUAGAUAUAUGGGGUUCUUUGAUAUGCUGAAUCUAACCAUGUAUUUAGAUUUUUUAUUUGUGGACCCCGUUAUCAAAUUGGUUCAUAUUGAGGUCAAAAGGGUCCAAAAUUAAACUUUGUUUGAUUUCAUCUAAAAUUGAAUUAUUGGGGCUCUUUGAUAUUCCAAAUCUAACCGUGUAUUUAGAUUUUUAAUUUUGGGUCCUGUUUUUUAAAUUGGUCUACAUUAAGGUCCAAAGGGUCCAAAAUUAAACUUAGUUUGAUUUUGACAAAAAUUGAAUUCUUGGGGUUUUUUGAUAUGCUGAAUCUAAACAUGUGUUUAGAUUUUUGAUUAUGGGCCCAGUUUUCAAGUUGGUCCAAGAUAGGGUCCAGUAUUUAAACUUUGUCUGAUUUCAACAAAAAUUGAAUAUAUGGGGUUCUUUGAUAUGCUGAAUAUAAACAUGUAUUUAGAUUUUUGAUUAUGGGCCCAGUUUUCAAGUUGGUCCAAAUUGGGGUCCAAAAUUAAACUUUGUUUGAUUUCAACAAAAAUUGAAUAUAUGAGGUUCUUUGAUAUGCUGAAUCUAACCAUGUAUUUAGAUUUUUUAUUUGUAGGCCCCGCUAUCAAAUUGGUUCAUAUUGAGGUCAAAAGGGUCCAAAAUUAAACUUUGUUUGAUUUCAUCUAAAAUUGAAUUAUUGGGGCUCUUUGAUAUUCCAAAUCUAACCGUGUAUUUAGAUUUUUAAUUUUGGGUCCUGUUUUUUAAAUUGGUCUACAUUAAGGUCCAAAGGGUCCAAAAUUAAACUUAGUUUGAUUUUAACAAAAAUUGAAUUCUUGGGGUUUUUUGAUAUGCUAAAUCUAAACAUGUGUUUAGAUUUUUGAUUAUGGGCCCAGUUUUCAAGUUGGUCCAAGAUAGGGUCCAGUAUUUAAACUUUGUCUGAUUUCAACAAAAAUUGAAUAUAUGGGGUUCUUUGAUAUGCUGAAUCUAAACAUGUAUUUAGAUUUUUGAUUAUGGGCCCAGUUUUCAAGUUGGUCCAAAUUGGGGUCCAAAAUUAAACUUUGUUUGAUUUCAACAAAAAUUGAAUAUAUGAGGUUCUUUGAUAUGCUGAAUCUAACCAUGUAUUUAGAUUUUUUAUUUGUAGGCCCCGCUAUCAAAUUGGUUCAUAUUGAGGUCAAAAGGGUCCAAAAUUAAACUUUGUUUGAUUUCAUCUAAAAUUGAAUUAUUGGGGUUCUUUGAUAUUCCAAAUCUAACCGUGUAUUUAGAUUUUUAAUUUUGGGUCCUGUUUUUUAAAUUGGUCUACAUUAAGGUCCAAAGGGUCCAAAAUUAAACUUAGUUUGAUUUUAACAAAAAUUGAAUUCUUGGGGUUCUUUGAUAUGCUGAAUCUAAACAUGUGUUUAGAUUUUUGAUUAUGGGCCCAGUUUUCAAGUUGGUCCAAGAUAGGGUCCAGUAUUUAAACUUUGUUUGAGAUCAACAAAAAUUGAAUAUAUGGGGUUCUUUGAUAUGCUGAAUCUAAACAUGUAUUUAGAUUUUUGAUUAUGGGCCCAGUUUUCAAGUUGGUCCAAAUUGGGGUCCAAAAUUAAACUUUGUUUGAUUUCAACAAAAAUUGAAUAUAUGAGGUUCUUUGAUAUGCUGAAUCUAACCAUGUAUUUAGAUUUUUUAUUUGUGGGCCCCGCUAUCAAAUUGGUUCAUAUUGAGGUCAAAAGGGUCUAAAAUUAAACUUUGUUUGAUUUCAUCAAAAAUUGAAUUAUUGGGGUUCUUUGAUAUGCCAAAUCUAACCGUGUUUUUAGAUUUUUAAUUUGGGUCCCAUUUUUUAAAAUUGGUCUUCAUUGAGGUCCAAAGGGUCCAAAAUUAAACUUAGUUUGAUUUUAACAAAAAUUGAAUUCUUAGGGUUCUUUGAUAUGCUAAAUCUAAACAUGUGUUUAGAUUUUUGAUUAUGGGCCCAGUUUUCAAGUUGGUCCAAGUUGUGGUCCAAAAUUAAACUUUUUUUGAUUUCAACAAAUAUUGAAUAUAUAGGGUUCUUUGAUAUGCUGAAUCUAACCAUGAACUUAGAUUUUUUAUUUGUGGGCCCCGCUAUCAAAUUGGUUCAUAUUGAGGUCAAAAGGGUCCAAAAUUAAACUUUGUUUGAUUUCAUCAAAAAUUGAAUUAUUGGGGUUCUUUGAUAUUCCAAAUCUAACCAUGUAUUUAGAUUUUUAAUUUUAAGUCCCGUUUUUUAAAUUGGUCUACAUUAAGAUCCAAAGGGUCCAAAAUUAAACUUAGUUUGAUUUUAGCAAAAAUUGAAUUAUUGGGGUUCUUUGAUAUGCUGAAUCUGAACAUGUGUUUAGAUUUUUGAUUAUGGGCCCAGUUUUCAAGUUUGUCCAAGUUGGGGUCCAAAAUUAAACUUUGUUUGAUUUCAACAAAAAUUGAAAAUAUGGGGUUCUUUGAUAUGCUGAAUCUAACCAUGUAUUUUGAUUUUGGACAUUGGACCAUAAUAGGUAAAUUAAAAAAAUUCAAGUUCUUAGACCACAUUCUUUCUGUGUCAGAAUCCUAUGCUGUGUCAAAUAUUUGAUAACAAUCCAAAUUCAGAGCUGUAUCAAGCUUGAAUGUUGUGUCCAUACUUGCCCCAACUGUUCAGGGUUCGACCUCUGCGGUCGUAUCAAGCUGCGCCCCAGCGAAGCAUUUUA